GGUUAAGCGACUAAGCGUACACGGUGGAUGCCCUGGCAGUCAGAGGCGAUGAAGGACGUGCUAAUCUGCGAUAAGCGUCGGUAAGGUGAUAUGAACCGUUAUAACCGGCGAUUUCCGAAUGGGGAAACCCAGUGUGAUUCGUCACACUAUCAUUAACUGAAUCCAUAGGUUAAUGAGGCGAACCGGGGGAACUGAAACAUCUAAGUACCCCGAGGAAAAGAAAUCAACCGAGAUUCCCCCAGUAGCGGCGAGCGAACGGGGAGCAGCCCAGAGCCUGAAUCAGUGUGUGUGUUAGUGGAAGCGUCUGGAAAGGCGCGCGAUACAGGGUGACAGCCCCGUACACAAAAAUGCACAUGCUGUGAGCUCGAUGAGUAGGGCGGGACACGUGGUAUCCUGUCUGAAUAUGGGGGGACCAUCCUCCAAGGCUAAAUACUCCUGACUGACCGAUAGUGAACCAGUACCGUGAGGGAAAGGCGAAAAGAACCCCGGCGAGGGGAGUGAAAAAGAACCUGAAACCGUGUACGUACAAGCAGUGGGAGCACAGAGCAAUCUGUGUGACUGCGUACCUUUUGUAUAAUGGGUCAGCGACUUAUAUUCUGUAGCAAGGUUAACCGAAUAGGGGAGCCGAAGGGAAACCGAGUCUUAACUGGGCGUUAAGUUGCAGGGUAUAGACCCGAAACCCGGUGAUCUAGCCAUGGGCAGGUUGAAGGUUGGGUAACACUAACUGGAGGACCGAACCGACUAAUGUUGAAAAAUUAGCGGAUGACUUGUGGCUGGGGGUGAAAGGCCAAUCAAACCGGGAGAUAGCUGGUUCUCCCCGAAAGCUAUUUAGGUAGCGCCUCGUGAAUUCAUCUCCGGGGGUAGAGCACUGUUUCGGCAAGGGGGUCAUCCCGACUUACCAACCCGAUGCAAACUGCGAAUACCGGAGAAUGUUAUCACGGGAGACACACGGCGGGUGCUAACGUCCGUCGUGAAGAGGGAAACAACCCAGACCGCCAGCUAAGGUCCCAAAGUCAUGGUUAAGUGGGAAACGAUGUGGGAAGGCCCAGACAGCCAGGAUGUUGGCUUAGAAGCAGCCAUCAUUUAAAGAAAGCGUAAUAGCUCACUGGUCGAGUCGGCCUGCGCGGAAGAUGUAACGGGGCUAAACCAUGCACCGAAGCUGCGGCAGCGACACUGUGUGUUGUUGGGUAGGGGAGCGUUCUGUAAGCCUGUGAAGGUGUACUGUGAGGUAUGCUGGAGGUAUCAGAAGUGCGAAUGCUGACAUAAGUAACGAUAAAGCGGGUGAAAAGCCCGCUCGCCGGAAGACCAAGGGUUCCUGUCCAACGUUAAUCGGGGCAGGGUGAGUCGACCCCUAAGGCGAGGCCGAAAGGCGUAGUCGAUGGGAAACAGGUUAAUAUUCCUGUACUUGGUGUUACUGCGAAGGGGGGACGGAGAAGGCUAUGUUGGCCGGGCGACGGUUGUCCCGGUUUAAGCGUGUAGGCUGGUUUUCCAGGCAAAUCCGGAAAAUCAAGGCUGAGGCGUGAUGACGAGGCACUACGGUGCUGAAGCAACAAAUGCCCUGCUUCCAGGAAAAGCCUCUAAGCAUCAGGUAACAUCAAAUCGUACCCCAAACCGACACAGGUGGUCAGGUAGAGAAUACCAAGGCGCUUGAGAGAACUCGGGUGAAGGAACUAGGCAAAAUGGUGCCGUAACUUCGGGAGAAGGCACGCUGAUAUGUAGGUGAAGUCCCUCGCGGAUGGAGCUGAAAUCAGUCGAAGAUACCAGCUGGCUGCAACUGUUUAUUAAAAACACAGCACUGUGCAAACACGAAAGUGGACGUAUACGGUGUGACGCCUGCCCGGUGCCGGAAGGUUAAUUGAUGGGGUUAGCGCAAGCGAAGCUCUUGAUCGAAGCCCCGGUAAACGGCGGCCGUAACUAUAACGGUCCUAAGGUAGCGAAAUUCCUUGUCGGGUAAGUUCCGACCUGCACGAAUGGCGUAAUGAUGGCCAGGCUGUCUCCACCCGAGACUCAGUGAAAUUGAACUCGCUGUGAAGAUGCAGUGUACCCGCGGCAAGACGGAAAGACCCCGUGAACCUUUACUAUAGCUUGACACUGAACAUUGAGCCUUGAUGUGUAGGAUAGGUGGGAGGCUUUGAAGUGUGGACGCCAGUCUGCAUGGAGCCGACCUUGAAAUACCACCCUUUAAUGUUUGAUGUUCUAACGUUGACCCGUAAUCCGGGUUGCGGACAGUGUCUGGUGGGUAGUUUGACUGGGGCGGUCUCCUCCUAAAGAGUAACGGAGGAGCACGAAGGUUGGCUAAUCCUGGUCGGACAUCAGGAGGUUAGUGCAAUGGCAUAAGCCAGCUUGACUGCGAGCGUGACGGCGCGAGCAGGUGCGAAAGCAGGUCAUAGUGAUCCGGUGGUUCUGAAUGGAAGGGCCAUCGCUCAACGGAUAAAAGGUACUCCGGGGAUAACAGGCUGAUACCGCCCAAGAGUUCAUAUCGACGGCGGUGUUUGGCACCUCGAUGUCGGCUCAUCACAUCCUGGGGCUGAAGUAGGUCCCAAGGGUAUGGCUGUUCGCCAUUUAAAGUGGUACGCGAGCUGGGUUUAGAACGUCGUGAGACAGUUCGGUCCCUAUCUGCCGUGGGCGCUGGAGAACUGAGGGGGGCUGCUCCUAGUACGAGAGGACCGGAGUGGACGCAUCACUGGUGUUCGGGUUGUCAUGCCAAUGGCACUGCCCGGUAGCUAAAUGCGGAAGAGAUAAGUGCUGAAAGCAUCUAAGCACGAAACUUGCCCCGAGAUGAGUUCUCCCUGACUCCUUGAGAGUCCUGAAGGAACGUUGAAGACGACGACGUUGAUAGGCCGGGUGUGUAAGCGCAGCGAUGCGUUGAGCUAACCGGUACUAAUGAACCGUGAGGCUUAACCUU
rnacentral:rRNA from 1 species